CAGAUAUCAAUUAAAUCUUCAUUUUUUUUAAUUAUAAUUUUUAAUUUAUAUAAAAUCAAACAUUAAACCCAUAAUUUUCUCCUUCAUCAGUCACACUCUAGUCACUAUCACACUCUAACAGACAUUCAAGAUAUCAAGAUAUGAGCGAGACACAACAAACAAGAGUAAAGGGUUUUGUUGUUGUUGAAUCAAAUUGAACAUCUAAUUAAUGGGUGUGUCUGUAACAAUCAUAGUGCUUAUCAUUUAGCUACAUCUCCUGUUGCUUUUCAGGCGAAAGUGGUUCCUGAUGAGUACGAUGACCGAACUUUCUGUGUUUACACCAUGGACGCUUCCACCGCUUUCUCUCUCCUGCUUCUCAGUCAAACUGUUCGUAACACCGUCACUAGUUGUCUUUGCUGUGGUAAAGG
rnacentral:lncRNA from 1 species